AGAGUUUGAUUCUGGCUCAGAAUGAACGCUGGCGGCGUGCCUAACACAUGCAAGUCGCACGAGAAAGGCUGGGUUUCGGCUUGGCCGAGUAAAGUGGCGCACGGGUGAGUAACGCGUGGGUGACCUACCCUCGAAUCUGGGAUAACCUCGCGAAAGCGGGGCUAAUACCGGAUACGUCCCUUCGGGGAGAAAGCCGGCCUCUCGAAGAAGCUGGUGUUCGGGGAUGGGCCCGCGUCCUAUCAGCUAGUUGGUAGGGUAACGGCCUACCAAGGCGACGACGGGUAGCUGGUCUGAGAGGAUGAUCAGCCACACUGGCACUGGAACACGGGCCAGACUCCUACGGGAGGCAGCAGUGAGGAAUUUUGCGCAAUGGGAGCAAUCCUGACGCAGCAACGCCGCGUGGGUGAAGAAGGCCUUCGGGUCGUAAAGCCCUGUCAGGAGGGAAGAACCUCGCUGGGGCGAAUAGCCUUGGCGACUGACGGUACCUCCAGAGGAAGCACCGGCUAACUCCGUGCCAGCAGCCGCGGUAAUACGGAGGGUGCGAGCGUUAUUCGGAAUUACUGGGCGUAAAGCGCGUGUAGGCGGCAGGGCAAGUCUGGUGUGAAAGCCCGGGGCUCAACCCCGGAAGUGCAUUGGAAACUGCUCUGCUUGAGUCCCGGAGAGGAAGGGGGAAUUCCCGGUGUACCGGUGAAAUGCGUAGAUAUCCGGAGGAAUACCAGUGGCGAAGGCGCCCCUCUGGACGGUUACUGACGCUGACACCCGAAAGCGUGGGGAGCCAACAGGAUUAGAAACCUGGGAAUCCCCCCCCCUAAACGAAUGGGACCAAGGGGUACCGGGUAU
rnacentral:rRNA from 1 species